rnacentral:rRNA from 1 species
GGAUACCCGCUGAACUUAAGCAUAUCAAUAAGCGGAGGAAAAGAAACCAACAGGGAUUGCCUCAGUAACGGCGAGUGAAGCGGCAACAGCUCAAAUUUGAAAUCUGGAGUCUUUCGGCUUCCGAGUUGUAAUUUGAAGAGGAUGUUUCGGUGCGACCUGGGCCUAAGUUCCUUGGAACAGGACGUCAUGGAGGGUGAGAAUCCCGUACAUGGCUGCAGGUUUGCUUCUAUGUGAAACUCCUUCGAAGAGUCGAGUUGUUUGGGAAUGCAGCUCAAAAUGGGUGGUAAAUUUCAUCUAAAGCUAAAUAUUGGCGGGAGACCGAUAGCGCACAAGUAGAGUGAUCGAAAGAUGAAAAGCACUUUGAAAAGAGAGUUAAACAGUACGUGAAAUUG